UAAUUAUGUUUAAAUAAAGAAAGCAUAAGAAUACAUCAUAAUUUUAAAAUGUAUUUAUAGUGACUUUGUAUUUCUCAAAUUUAUCACACGAAUAGGCAAUAGUGCCUAAUAAGAAGUACUUUUUAAUAAGUAAUGUUUAAAUUUGUUUUUUCUUAAUCUAUAUUAUAAUCUAUAUUGACGAUGAGACGUUUCGCACUUUGUAUAAUUCUUAUAAUAACAGUGUCGUUAGUGUCUGGAGAAACGACUACUGAUAUAAAUGAAACUAAGAGAUUAGAAUCCCAAGAAUCGUCAAAAAAAGUUGCAAGAUUUGAUCUCAAUUGCCCACCCUUAAGCAUAACAUGUGUCAACCAAGGACGAAGAAAUUCUUAAAGACUUUGGAAACAAAACCAAGGAGAAAGAUUUAUAAUUAAAAAAAAGAAAGCAAAAAAUGAAAAAGCUGUGCAUAUUGUCAUAUUUUUUGUUUGUAUAUACUCAUAUUCUCAUUUGUACAACUUUUGUGAAAAUCAUUUCACUUUCAUGUGUGUGUGAAAUUCAGCAGUAAGAGUGUAUCAGUUUUUUAAGUAAGUGCUUUUUUAACAUAAAAUACCUGCUAGGAUAUUGAUAAUAAAUGCAAAAUGUAAAUAUAUUGUGACAUUAAACUACAUUUAUGAAAAUA
rnacentral:sRNA from 1 species